rnacentral:lncRNA from 1 species
AAUUGGAUCCAGUGCCUCCCCUGCCACGACUGCUUCGAGCAGCACGGCCCGGUCUACGACCCCGCCGCCUCCUCUUCCUACCGCAACGUCAGCUGCGCCGACCCCCGCUGCGGCCUCGUCUCGUCGCCCAACCCGCCCCAGCCCUGUCGCUCCGCCGCCGCUAAUGGCGGCCGCGACCAACCCUGCCCCUACUUCUACUGGUACGGCGACAGCUCCAACACCACCGGAGACCUCGCGCUCGAGACCUUCACCAUGAACCUCACGGCCCCGGACGGCGCCGGCGCCGAGUUCCGCCGCGUGGACGACGUCAUCUUCGGGUGCGGCCACUGGAACCGCGGGCUCUUCCACGGAGCCGCCGGGCUCCUGGGCCUCGGCCGGGGGCCGCUCUCCUUCUCCUCCCAACUCCGCUCGCUCUACGGCCACACCUUCUCCUACUGCCUCGUCGACCGCAACAGCGACCUCAGCGUCAGCAGCAAGCUCAUCUUCGGCGAGGACCCGAGCUUGCUCGGCCGCCCGGGCUUGAACUACACCUCCUUCGUCACCGGGAAGGAGAACCUCGUUGACACCUUCUACUACGUCCAGAUUAAAGCAAUCCUCGUCGGCGGCGAGGCACUGCAGAUACCACCGGCGACAUGGGAGCUGGCGAAGGACGGCAGCGGCGGGACCAUCAUCGAUUCCGGCACCAUACUGAGCUACGUCGCCGACCCGGCGUAUCAGAAGAUUAGAGAAGCCAUCGUCAAGAGGGUAAAGUACCCGAUGGUGGCAGACUUCCCGGUGCUGAAUCCUUGCUACAAUGUAUCCGGAGUACCCAAGGUGGAGCUGCCGGAAUUCGCGAUCUUGUUCGGAGACGGCGCGAUGUGGAACUUCCCGAAGGAGAACUACUUCAUCCGGCUGGAUCCGGAGGACAUCAUGUGCCUCGCCAUCCUGCCGACGCCGCAGCGGGGGAUCUCCAUCCUGGGCAAUAACCAGCAGCAGAACUUCCACAUCACGUACGACUUGAAGAAUUCCCGGCUGGGAUUCGCGCCGGCGAGGUGCGCCGAGUUGUAGAGAGAGAACUCAGA